rnacentral:rRNA from 1 species
AUACGGAGGGUGCAAGCGUUGUUCGGAAUUACUGGGCGUAAAGAGCAUGUAGGCGGAUAGAUUAGUCAGAGGUGAAAGCCCCGAGCUCAACUCGGGAACUGCCUUUGAUACUGUUUAUCUAGAGACCGAGAGAGGUGAGUGGAAUUCUCAGUGUAGAGGUGAAAUUCGUAGAUAUUGGGAAGAACACCAGUGGCGAAGGCGGCUCACUGGCUCGGAACUGACGCUGAGAUGCGAAAGCGUGGGGAACGAACAGGAUUAGAAACCCUAGUAGUCC